GAUGAACGCUGGCGGCGUGCCUAAUACAUGCAAGUCGAGCGAACAGACGAUGAGCUUGCUCCUCUGACGUUAGCGGCGGACGGGUGAGUAACACGUGGAUAACCUACCUAUAAGACUGGGAUAACUUCGGGAAACCGGAGCUAAUACUGGAUAAUAUAUUGAACCGCAUGGUUCAAUAGUGAAAGACGGUUUUGCUGUCACUUAUAGAUGGAUCCGCGCCGCAUUAGCUAGUUGGUAAGGUAACGGCUUACCAAGGCGACGAUGCGUAGCCGACCUGAGAGGGUGAUCAGCCACACUGGAACUGAGACACGGUCCAGACUCCUACGGGAGGCAGCAGUAGGGAAUCUUCCGCAAUGGGCGAAAGCCUGACGGAGCAACGCCGCGUGAGUGAUGAAGGUCUUCGGAUCGUAAAACUCUGUUAUUAGGGAAGAACAAAUGUGUAAGUAACUAUGCACGUCUUGACGGUACCUAAUCAGAAAGCCACGGCUAACUACGUG
rnacentral:rRNA from 1 species